UACGUAGGGUGUAAGCGUUGUCCGGAAUUAUUGGGCGUAAAGAGCUCGUAGGCGGUCUGUCGCGUCUGCUGUGAAAACUCGGGGCUUAACCCCGGGCCUGCAGUGGGUACGGGCAGACUAGAGUGCGGUAGGGGAGACUGGAAUUCCUGGUGUAGCGGUGAAAUGCGCAGAUAUCGGGAAGAACACCCGUGGCUAAGGCGGCUCUCUAGUACGGUACUGACGCUGAGGUGCGAAAGCGUGGGGAGCAAACAGG
rnacentral:rRNA from 1 species